rnacentral:rRNA from 1 species
UGCGUAGGCGGUCGGGUAAGUCUGACGUGAAAUCUUCAAGCUCAACUUGGAAACUGCGUCGGAUACUAUUCGGCUAGAGGAAUGGAGGGGAGACUGGAAUACUUGGUGUAGCAGUGAAAUGCGUAGAUAUCAAGUGGAACACCAGUGGCGAAGGCGAGUCUCUGGACAUUUCCUGACGCUGAGGACGAAAGCCAGGGGGAGCGAAACG